AUUGAACGCUGGCUGCAGGCCUAACACAUGCAAGUCGAACGAGUGGCGGACGGGUGAGUAAUUUCUGGGAAACUGCCUGAUGGAGGGGGAUAACUACUGGAAACUGUAGCUAAUACCGCAUACCAUCAGAUGUUCCCAGAUGGGAUUCGCUCGUUUGUGGGGUAACGGCUCACCAAGGCGACGCUCCCUAGCUGGUCUGAGAGGAUGACCAGCCACACUGGAACUGAGACAAGGUCCAGACUCCUACGGGAGGCAGCAGUGGGGAAGAGUGCACAAUGGGCGCAAGCCUGAUGCAGCCAUGCCGCGUGUAUGAAGAAGGCCUUCGGGUUGUAAAGUACUUUCAGCGGGGAGGCGUUACCAGAAGAAGAAGCACCGGCUAACUCCGUGCCAGCAGCCGCGGUAAUAC
rnacentral:rRNA from 1 species